CUGAAUCCAUAGGUUAAUGAGGCGAACCGGGGGAACUGAAACAUCUAAGUACCCCGAGGAAAAGAAAUCAACCGAGAUUCCCCCAGUAGCGGCGAGCGAACGGGGAGGAGCCCAGAGCCUGAAUCAGUGUGUGUGUUAGUGGAAGCGUCUGGAAAGGCGCGCGAUACAGGGUGACAGCCCCGUACACAAAAAUGCACAUAUUGUGAGCUCGAUGAGUAGGGCGGGACACGUGGUAUCCUGUCUGAAUAUGGGGGGACCAUCCUCCAAGGCUAAAUACUCCUGACUGACCGAUAGUGAACCAGUACCGUGAGGGAAAGGCGAAAAGAACCCCGGCGAGGGGAGUGAAAAAGAACCUGAAACCGUGUACGUACAAGCAGUGGGAGCCUCUUUAUGGGGUGACUGCGUACCUUUUGUAUAAUGGGUCAGCGACUUAUAUUCUGUAGCAAGGUUAACCGAAUAGGGGAGCCGAAGGGAAACCGAGUCUUAACUGGGCGUUAAGUUGCAGGGUAUAGACCCGAAACCCGGUGAUCUAGCCAUGGGCAGGUUGAAGGUUGGGUAACACUAACUGGAGGACCGAACCGACUAAUGUUGAAAAAUUAGCGGAUGACUUGUGGCUGGGGGUGAAAGGCCAAUCAAACCGGGAGAUAGCUGGUUCUCCCCGAAAGCUAUUUAGGUAGCGCCUCGUGAAUUCAUCUCCGGGGGUAGAGCACUGUUUCGGCAAGGGGGUCAUCCCGACUUACCAACCCGAUGCAAACUGCGAAUACCGGAGAAUGUUAUCACGGGAGACACACGGCGGGUGCUAACGUCCGUCGUGAAGAGGGAAACAACCCAGACCGCCAGCUAAGGUCCCAAAGUCAUGGUUAAGUGGGAAACGAUGUGGGAAGGCCCAGACAGCCAGGAUGUUGGCUUAGAAGCAGCCAUCAUUUAAAGAAAGCGUAAUAGCUCACUGGUCGAGUCGGCCUGCGCGGAAGAUGUAACGGGGCUAAACCAUGCACCGAAGCUGCGGCAGCGACACUAUGUGUUGUUGGGUAGGGGAGCGUUCUGUAAGCCUGUGAAGGUGGCCUGUGAGGGUUGCUGGAGGUAUCAGAAGUGCGAAUGCUGACAUAAGUAACGAUAAAGCGGGUGAAAAGCCCGCUCGCCGGAAGACCAAGGGUUCCUGUCCAACGUUAAUCGGGGCAGGGUGAGUCGACCCCUAAGGCGAGGCCGAAAGGCGUAGUCGAUGGGAAACAGGUUAAUAUUCCUGUACUUGGUGUUACUGCGAAGGGGGGACGGAGAAGGCUAUGUUGGCCGGGCGACGGUUGUCCCGGUUUAAGCGUGUAGGCUGGUUUUCCAGGCAAAUCCGGAAAACCAAGGCUGAGGCGUGAUGACGAGGCACUACGGUGCUGAAGCGACAAAUGCCCUGCUUCCAGGAAAAGCCUCUAAGCAUCAGGUAACAUCAAAUCGUACCCCAAACCGACACAGGUGGUCAGGUAGAGAAUACCAAGGCGCUUGAGAGAACUCGGGUGAAGGAACUAGGCAAAAUGGUGCCGUAACUUCGGGAGAAGGCACGCUGAUAUGUAGGUGAAGCGACUUGCUCGUGGAGCUGAAAUCAGUCGAAGAUACCAGCUGGCUGCAACUGUUUAUUAAAAACACAGCACUGUGCAAACACGAAAGUGGACGUAUACGGUGUGACGCCUGCCCGGUGCCGGAAGGUUAAUUGAUGGGGUUAGCGGUAACGCGAAGCUCUUGAUCGAAGCCCCGGUAAACGGCGGCCGUAACUAUAACGGUCCUAAGGUAGCGAAAUUCCUUGUCGGGUAAGUUCCGACCUGCACGAAUGGCGUAAUGAUGGCCAGGCUGUCUCCACCCGAGACUCAGUGAAAUUGAACUCGCUGUGAAGAUGCAGUGUACCCGCGGCAAGACGGAAAGACCCCGUGAACCUUUACUAUAGCUUGACACUGAACAUUGAGCCUUGAUGUGUAGGAUAGGUGGGAGGCUUUGAAGUGUGGACGCCAGUCUGCAUGGAGCCGACCUUGAAAUACCACCCUUUAAUGUUUGAUGUUCUAACGUUGGCCCGUAAUCCGGGUUGCGGACAGUGUCUGGUGGGUAGUUUGACUGGGGCGGUCUCCUCCUAAAGAGUAACGGAGGAGCACGAAGGUUGGCUAAUCCUGGUCGGACAUCAGGAGGUUAGUGCAAUGGCAUAAGCCAGCUUGACUGCGAGCGUGACGGCGCGAGCAGGUGCGAAAGCAGGUCAUAGUGAUCCGGUGGUUCUGAAUGGAAGGGCCAUCGCUCAACGGAUAAAAGGUACUCCGGGGAUAACAGGCUGAUACCGCCCAAGAGUUCAUAUCGACGGCGGUGUUUGGCACCUCGAUGUCGGCUCAUCACAUCCUGGGGCUGAAGUAGGUCCCAAGGGUAUGGCUGUUCGCCAUUUAAAGUGGUACGCGAGCUGGGUUUAGAACGUCGUGAGACAGUUCGGUCCCUAUCUGCCGUGGGCGCUGGAGAACUGAGGGGGGCUGCUCCUAGUACGAGAGGACCGGAGUGGACGCAUCACUGGUGUUCGGGUUGUCAUGCCAAUGGCACUGCCCGGUAGCUAAAUGCGGAAGAGAUAAGUGCUGAAAGCAUCUAAGCACGAAACUUGCCCCGAGAUGAGUUCUCCCUGACUCCUUGAGAGUCCUGAAGGAACGUUGAAGACGACGACGUUGAUAGGCCGGGUGUGUAAGCGCAGCGAUGCGUUGAGCUAACCGGUACUAAUGAACCGUGAGGCUUAACCUUACAACGCCGAAG
rnacentral:rRNA from 1 species